rnacentral:rRNA from 1 species
GGAAUAUUGGACAAUGGGCGCAAGCCUGAUCCAGCCAUGCCGCGUGAGUGAAGAAGGCCCUAGGGUUGUAAAACUCUUUCAGCGGGGAAGAUGAUGACUGUACCCGCAGAAGAAGCCCCGGCUAACUCCGUGCCAGCAGCCGCGGUAAUACGGAGGGGGCUAGCGUUGCUCGGAAUUACUGGGCGUAAAGGGCGCGUAGGCGGGGAGCAUAGUUAGGCGUGAAAGCCCCGGGCUUAACCUGGGAAAUGCGCUUAAUACUGGCUUUCUAGAGUCCGGGAGAGGGUGGUGGAAUUCCCAGUGUAGAGGUGAAAUUCGUAGAUAUUGGGAAGAACACCAGUGGCGAAGGCGGCCACCUGGACCGGUACUGACGCUGAGGCGCGAAAGCGUGGGGAGCAAAC